AACGCACAUUGCGCCCGCUAGUAUUCUGGCGGGCAUGCCUGUUCGAGCGUCAUUUCAACCAUCAAGCCCAGCUUGUGUUGGGGACCUGCGGCUGCCCGCAGGCCCCGAAAACCAGUGGCGGGCUCGCUGUCACUCCGAGCGCAGUAAUACAUCUCGCUCAGGGCGUGCGGUGGGUACCAGCCGUUAAACACCCCCUUAUACAAGGUUGACCUCGGAUCAGGUAGGAAUACCCGCUGAACUUAA
rnacentral:misc_RNA from 1 species